rnacentral:rRNA from 1 species
GACGAACGCUGGCGGCGUGCUUAACACAUGCAAGUCGAACGGAAAGGCUCUGCUUUUGUGGGGUGCUCGAGUGGCGAACGGGUGAGUAACACGUGAGUAACCUGCCCUUGACUUUGGGAUAACUUCAGGAAACUGGGGCUAAUACCGGAUAGGAGCUCCUGCUGCAUGGUGGGGGUUGGAAAGUUUCGGCGGUUGGGGAUGGACUCGCGGCUUAUCAGCUUGUUGGUGGGGUAGUGGCUUACCAAGGCUUUGACGGGUAGCCGGCCUGAGAGGGUGACCGGCCACAUUGGGACUGAGAUACGGCCCAGACGCCUACGGGAGGCAGCAGUGGGGAAUAUUGCACAAUGGGCGGAAGCCUGAUGCAGCAACGCCGCGUGCGGGAUGACGGCCUUCGGGUUGUAAACCGCUUUCGCCUGUGACGAAGCGUGAGUGACGGUAAUGGGUAAAGAAGCAACGGCUAACUACGUG